GCCUCCCUUCGUUCCCGGGCCUCACGGUUCGCGGUCUUGUCGGGGCUAAAGGUCGGCGCGCUCCGCUUUGGUGACUCUGGAUAACUCACUGGUCGAUCGCACGGGCUUCCACGCCCGGCGACGGGACCCUCGAGGGUCCGCCCUAUCAACU
rnacentral:rRNA from 1 species